rnacentral:sRNA from 1 species
GCUGGGUGUGGUGGUGCAUGCCUGUAAUCCCAGCAGCUCGGGAAGCUGAGGCAGGAGGACCACGAGUUCAAAGACAACCUCAGCAAAAGCGAGGUGCUAAGCAACUCAGUGAAACCUUGUCUCUA